GUGAGGAAUAUUGGGCAAUGGGCGAAAGCCUGACCCAGCCACGCCGCGUGAGUGAUGAAGGCCUUCGGGUUGUAAAGCUCUGUGGGGAGGGAAGAAAAAGCGCAGGAGUAACUGCCUGUGUGUUGACGGUACCUCCUUAGCAAGCACCGGCUAACUCUGUGCCAGCAGCCGCGGUAAUACAGAGGGUGCAAACGUUGCUCGGAAUUACUGGGCGUAAAGCGCGUGUAGGCUGACAUGCAAGUCGGGUGUGAAAUCCCAGGGCUCAACCUUGGAACUGCACUCGAAACUGCACGUCUUGAGUACUGGAGAGGGAAGCGGAAUUCCGGGUGUAGAGGUGAAAUUCGUAGAUAUCCGGAGGAACACCAGUGGCGAAGGCGGCUUCCUGGACAGUAACUGACGCUGAGACGCGAAAGCGUGGGGAGCAAACAGGAUUAGAUACCCCUGUAGUCC
rnacentral:rRNA from 1 species